CUCUUGCUGACACACCCUAGAAUUCUUUAAGCAACAAAAAAAGGGAUUUUUCGUAUGAACACUGCAAUACAGUUGAGCAGACUAAAAAAGCACUAAUUGAGAAAGAUAAGAGACUCCAUAAAUCCACUAGGCAUUUUCCCUGACUCUAUUAUAUUUCAUUUGAUUUCAAAGGCUUCCUUUCACCAGUCUUGCAGCUUACUCUUCCAAGCCUGUUACCUUAUAGCCGUGCUAUUAAGAAAAUCCAGCUACUUGUUUAAUCUGCACACCUAUUUGUUGCGAUCUUGGACCUCCAGCACUAGAACUGUUUGCUAGUAAACACAAUGGAUUGGGGAGUAUAACUGGGGGUAGAGAGAGAUACCUGGGAUCUUUUUCACUGAGGAGGCAAGCGGAUAGCGUGACUUGUCUCAUGAAUGGAAGAUCAUAGGGAAGCCUGGCUGUAAUACACUGGAAGGACCUGGGGUGGCACAAUGAUGUUUACCACUGCAGCUUCCUUUGAUAUUGAGAAGCAUGAGAUCAUUUUGGAGGGAUUAGAGGCAAUUUGAAGAAAAACAAAACUUUCUCCAAAGAACUGGAUCUUGUAGUCCAGCCCUGAGCCUUGUUCAGUGGAGGAGUCUGUGGUGACCAUGGGAUAUGCAGGAUAAAAGGUUCCUCUGUCUGAGGCAGACUUGAAGCCCCAGCCUGCUACUGGUAAUAGAAGACUAUAUAAAUGCUAAAGGCUUUUGAAAAGUUUGAGUGCUUGCUAAAUGAGGACUUUGGAUCCCCUAGACAAGUACCCUGUGGAGGACAGCCAUUAAGGACACUAGAUCUGAAAGCCUGAUUUCCAGACAGAGCUCUUGCCCUGACGGAGGGACCCAAGUGACUAGUCCAAGAGAAUGAAGUGCAGCCUUUUUAAAGUGUAAGUGCAGCCUUUUUAAAGUGUAAAAAGGUCUGCACCUGCCUCCCAAGCAAGUUCUGUGGUUUAAGGCAUGUGCUUGAGAUUUCUCUAAACCUCGUGGUGGAAUCCAGAUGCCUUUUAGCCAAUCAGACCUACAGGGAGAUCCACCUUUGAGGCAAUGGCAAGAGGCGCAAUAAGACCAGAACUUCCUGAACCAGAAAUGCCAACUCUUGGGUGCAAGCAUCAAUCUCAGUGCAAGAAGUGCUCCAACUCCACAAUAUCCUCUGUCAAUGCAGACCAAAAGAAAUGCAAUGAAGGUGAUAGCUGGGCUUCUUGGUUGUCUCAGAAAGGAUCAGGUGUGAUCAAGCUACAUCACUGAACACAUGCUAAAGAUCAGAACUGCCAUCAACCUCUCUACUUUGAAUACUUAAAUGCAGAAGGGAAACAUCUGGAGACUUCACUAUAGGAACCCUGACAGAAACAUGUCAGAAAGCAACUGGUCCUCUCUUGGUACUUCCUACUUGGCUAAUUGCCAAAACUCAGCACCAUUGACUUUAAGUCCUGAAUGCAUCAAUGAGUCAAUGCUUGGCAGUGUCAUCAGCUUUACUGGUAAUAAAUGCAGGAACUUCAGGAUGUAAAGCCACCCCAUUGGGUUUACCUUUGAGAGAGUGGUCCUGACACUGAGACUUAAGCCUUGAGUAUUAACCCUUCAAAGCAUUCUGGCCAGCUGAGUGUUGAAUUUACAAGAGAUUCCCUGGGAUGUCUCAAAGAGAACUCAAAAGAUGCUCACUAUGUGUCUCCAGCAUGUGGUGUGACAUCUGCAGAAAUAUCUGGCAUUCAGGCAUGUUGUAGGAACACAGAAAUUGCUAUACUGGAUCAGAUACGAGGUCAGUCUAGUUCAGUAUUCUCUUUCCUACAGAGGCCAAUACCAGAUGUUUCAGAGAAAGAUGUAAAAAUACUUAUGCAAGCCUUCCAUUCCAGAACGCCUUGCAUAAGUUGGAUUUUGAGUAAGUCGGGAACAUAUCUCCGACAAUUACGCAAAAAAGGAACUUAUUCCGUAAGUCCAGAUUUCCGUAAAUUGGGCUUGCAUAACCUGGGGUGUGUCUGUAAACAGAUGAGGGUAAUUCUGCCCCCCACAUAAGAUCUCAUCCUGAUUUCUAACAGCUAGAGAUUGUCUUGAAUCCUGAAGCCUGAGGUUUAAUAUCCUUUCCAAAGUUUAUAAUAAUUAGAAGUCUGGACAAUCUUGUUAUCCAUAUAUAAAUGUCCAAUCUCUUUUUGAAUCUUUCUAAGUUCUUGGCCUCAACCGCUUCCUGUGGCAAUGAAUUCUACAGUCUAAUUACUCACUGUGUGCAAAGUAUUUCCUUUUAUCAGUUCUAAAUUGUGUUGGACUCUGACCAGACAAGACAACAAAAAUGGUUGCCAAUCAGAGAUGUUGUUUUGCCAUACAGACGUGCUUUGAAGCUGUUAAAUGGUCUUCCUUUUUCCACUGAUUCCAAACCUACAAAAGAAAAGUGGAUAGUUGUGCUUUGAGGGAAAUAUUGGACCAAGCAAAGAAAUAUGUGCCCAAUACCAAGAUCAUAUAGAUGUUGAAUUGCAACAAAGAAAUUUGGCAGCAAAGAAGCAGAGCAGGCAUCUAUGCACCUUGACUUAAGGUUUCCUAACAAGAACUGGGACACAAAAGAUAGACAUUGAAGUGGCAUGAAAACAGAUGCCAAAGCACCAGAAGUGCUCUGAAUUACUCAAGACAAACACCUAAAAUUUGAAACUCUGAAUUGUACCUCACUGGAAAGAUUAGCUCCAGAGUUAAAAAACAAAACAACCUUCAUCAGUCUCUCAUAAAGGUACUACCAUAUAGGAGUGAUACCAUCUGUGCAGGUUUAUCUUUAAAAAAUAAUUCCAAUAAUUAAAUACAAACACAUACCAUGUCUUAUUCAAGCAGGUGUUUUUAAACACAUUGAUUAUCAUCAUCAUUGUGGUAUUUCUGUAGUAAGUGGAUUGUUUGAAUCAAAAGAUUAAAAUCAAUAUUAUAAGCUUCAAAAUAAUUCAUUUAAAUCGGUUCCAUUUCCCUAAUGCUCCGUACUGUUGCACACCGAUACACAAUAAAAAAAAACGAACAAGUGUAUGCACUAGGCUGCCCUUGAGGUCUCUGCGUGUACAAAUGUACACACACACACACACACACUCACACAGUGCAAGCAUUCACACAUGUGCAAGUCCCAGAGGGACUGAGUGUAUUGUGGAGUCAGUGCUUUCAGCACCCUCCAGGAGGAAGCAUCUUGUAUACAUCUUCUAAGACCUUCAGCCAAGUGAAAUAACUGGACUUACAGCUCUAGAAGCAGCAUUUCCAGAUCUCUUUACUGAAGGUAGGACAUGAUUUCAGUCUAUGAAGGUGAAAUGGGAUACAGGGUAAAAGAAGAACCAAGUAGAAGGCUACAAGUGGAGGUGGAAGGUGGUUCUAAAGUAGAAAUUAGAUGUAGCCAGACACAAAGAAGGUUGUAGCUGGAUCUGAAUUUAUACUUUGUUUUUAAUCUAUAGGUCUGAAGUGUAAUUUCAGAGUAAAAAUAAUGAAACUAACAGCAACUUACAUGUGAGAACUUCCCAACUUUGAUGAUAGGCCACAGUUAGUGUAUUUGGUAUUAAUUUUAGUCAUAUAUUAUUAUUUCUCUUUGAACACAUUCAAGAACAAACUCAGACUUAAAAGCAUUUUGUUUUUAUUUGGACAAAAGGAACACAGUCUUUAUUGGUAGGUUAAUAGGGAUAUCUUACCUGCAAAAGUAAAUUUC